UCUGUAGGUGGUUUAAUAAGUCAACUGUUAAAUCUUGAAGCUCAACUUCAAAAUCGCAGUCGAAACUAUUAGACUAGAGUAUAGUAGGGGUAAAGGGAAUUUCCAGUGGAGCGGUGAAAUGCGUAGAGAUUGGAAAGAACACCGAUGGCGAAGGCACUUUACUGGGCUAUUACUGACACUCAGAGACGAAAGCUAGGGUAGCAAAUG
rnacentral:rRNA from 1 species